rnacentral:rRNA from 1 species
UACAGAGGUCUCAAGCGUUUGUUCGGAUUCAUUGGGCGUAAAGGGUGUGUAGGUGGCGCCGUAAGUCGGGUGUGAAAUUUCGGGAGCUUAACUCCGAAACUGCAUUCGAUACUGCGGUGCUUGAGGACUGGAGAGGAGACUGGAAUUCAUGGUGUAGCAGUGAAAUGCGUAGAGAUCAUGAGGAAGACCAGUGGCGAAGGCGGGUCUCUGGACAGUUCCUGACACUGAGACACGAAGGCCAGGGGAGCAAACGGGG